UAUCUCUCAGCUCAGUCAAUCCCCACCAGCAACCUUAUCCAUCCGCCUGCACCAUCUCUUCCAUUAUCCGACUGAUGAAGAUCUCGCCGCUUGCCAUCACCGAACUAAUUCCCAAACCAUCGCGGCUGCACUUGUUGAUUCAUUUCUUCCAACUUCUCUUCGUCUGGCGCAGUUUGUGGUUGCGCGGAGUGCGCAGGCGCAUUCUCAAGGAUCUGGAUCCUCGACGACCUCGUGGAGUCCGGCGGAGCGUUCUCAAGGGUUUCGGCCAAGGUGAUGACAUGGCCGACGGCUAGAGAACCAUGGCAGAGGUGUUGUAGUUUGGUCCAAUGGAGGAGGCUGUUACGGAACUCACCGAGUCAUCCGCUGAUGGUGAAUUAUUGGAUCUGACUACAGUGAGAUGCUGGCCUCCUCAUUGUUCUUGCUGGCCUCCUCAUUGUUCUUCCUGUCAAACUACUAUUAAAUGUUUGUUGUGCAGUGCUUGCGGUCAUCGUGCUCCUCGCCGGAUUGGUUGCGCUGGUAGUUGUUGUUGCUGCCGUCGCUCGCGUCGGUGUACUGGUCGCGCUGGUAGUUAUUGUUGUUGCUACUGCCGUCGUGCGGCUCACCGGACCGCGGCUGGUGGUGGUUCUGCACUGCGUUUGACGUCGGCGGGCGCUGCAGGUUCUUGACACGCAGUUAUUCUGGUGGGAGCCGUGGCUAUGUGAUUCUGGCCGGCGUGCAUGCAUAGUCGGAGGACGCCGAGUCUUUCUUGAUGCCGGCGACAUCAGCUCAUGUCAGCAUGAGGCACCUUUGUCCUUUUGUUCAAGCAUAUUCGUCUCAGUGCAUUCAUCCUCUGAGCUAUCUGAUAUUGCAACAGAUCUAAGUCUCCUUUUAUUGCCACUUCGGAGCACACGUGAUGAUGAUGAUACUUUGUCUUGACGCUUAUCUUUGUUUCAUGUAGUCCCAUUGCUAUCAUUUGGCUCCUCUUUCACAGGCACCCGUUCGCAUGAAAGUUCGCCAGGUCUUUAACUCAUAUCACAAAGAUUGAUGCCAUUAUUUAUUGGAAUUCUGAGGCAUUACCUGGCCUGGCUGGUUUUCGUGCCUCAUUGUAACCAGAAGUGGUUUUGGGUCACUUCUUCCGACGUUGAUUGGAGCAGUUGGGCGUAACUUCGUCGGGCGUCGAGUGUGCUUUGGCGUGACUUCGUCGGAAGUCGAUUGAAGCGGUUGGAGGUGGCUUUUGGUGUGGAUGUCGAGUCGCAUGUGGCUUGUUCAAGUCGUGGUUGCUGACUUCUAAUUGUUUGGUGGGUGCUUAUCCGGCCGGCUGUACUUAUAUAAUGGGUUGCGUUGAGGUGGCCGAGACCGUGUGGAGAUCAGAUUGUGAAGUUGUCUGUAUUUGUUUCUAUUUUGGAACUUUCCUCACGUGGUCUGGUGGUUGUCCUUAUUUGUUUAAGUUCCUUAUUUGUUUAGGUUUGACUAUUAUUUUUUCUUAUCCUUGACCUAUUGAUGGAAAAAUAAUUUUUA